GGAGCAGCUGAGCCGGGGGUGGUGUCGAGCACGUCCCGCCGUAGCGGGGCGGAGGGAAGACGCUGCCGCCGGGGGAAGAUGGCGGCUGCGGCCGCCGAGGUGGCGGUCUUACGGCUCUCGCGGCAGGAGCAGGAGCUGCGCUGGUUGACGGCGGAGGUCGCCCGGCUGAAGGGGCAGGAGGCGCCGGGCUGUCCCGCGAGCUGCAGCCCCGAGCUGCAGCGGCUGAGGGCCGAGAACGAGAAGCUGCGCUACCGCCUCCUGCACCUGCGCCGCAGUCUGGCGGCCGAGCUGGGCCGGGCAGCGCCGGCGGAGGCCCCGGCCGGUGGCGAGAAAGUCUCCAGUGCAAGUCCAGCUGUCGUGGUGACUCAAAAUAAAGAGGAAAAGAAAAAAGAAGCUGUGAACCUACAUCAGAAUGAUCUACAGCGUGAGCCAAGCUUCAUAGAAGACAGACUGAAGCUUUAUGAAGCACUGAAAAAAGAACACGAUGCUUUGCUAGCUUACAGAGUGGCCAACCAGAGCAAACCUAUCAAAAUUAUUCUGACAGAUGGAAAGGUGGCUGAAGGGGAGUCCUGGAAAACCACGCCAUAUCAAUUAGCUGUAGGAAUUAGUCAAGUGUUGGCUUCAGAUGCAGUCAUAGCGAAAGUGAAUGGUGAAUUGUGGGACCUGGAUCGUCCACUGGAAGGAGAUUGUACUCUGGAGCUGCUUAUGUUUGACAAUGAAGAAGCAAAAGCUGUUUACUGGCAUUCAAGUGCUCAUAUUCUUGGAGAGGCCAUGGAAGAUUAUUUUGGGGGCUGCUUAUGCUAUGGACCACCAAUUGAGAAUGGGUUUUAUUAUGACAUGUAUAUUGAAGAUAGAGAUGUAUCUAGUACUGAGUUCCCACUGCUAGAGAACCGCUGUAAAAAUAUAAUGAAAGAGAAGCAGGCUUUUGAAAGGCUAGAAGUCAAAAAGGAGAUCCUGUUAGACAUGUUUAAGUAUAACAAGUUUAAGUGUCGUAUCCUUAAUGAGAAGGUGAACACAGCAACUACCACAAUAUACAGAUGUGGUCCACUGAUUGAUCUCUGCAGGGGUCCACAUGUGAGACACACUGGAAAAAUCAAGGCCCUUAAAAUACUUAAGAAUUCUUCUACAUAUUGGGAAGGAAAAUCUGACAUGGAAACUCUGCAGAGAAUAUAUGGAAUAUCCUUUCCUGAUAAUAAAAUGAUGAAGGAAUGGGAAAAAUUCCAGGAAGAAGCCAGAAACCGGGAUCAUAGGAAAAUUGGAAAGGAACAAGAACUCUUCUUCUUUCAUGAUUUGAGUCCUGGAAGCUGCUUUUUCCUUCCCAGAGGUGCCCAUCUCUAUAAUACACUUGUGGAUUUCAUAAGAGAUGAAUAUUGGAGGCGUAAUUUUACUGAAGUUGUAUCUCCAAACGUCUUCAACAGUAAGCUCUGGGAAACUUCAGGACACUGGCAGCACUACAGUGAAAAUAUGUUCUCUUUUGAGAUUGAGAAGGAAACUUUUGCCCUUAAACCAAUGAAUUGUCCAGGACAUUGCUUGAUAUUUGCCCAUCGUCCGCGAUCCUGGAGAGAAAUGCCUCUUAGACUUGCAGAUUUUGGAGUUCUUCAUCGAAAUGAACUCUCUGGGACUUUAAGUGGCUUGACUCGUGUAAGGCGCUUCCAACAAGAUGAUGCUCACAUCUUUUGCACAAUAGAACAGAUUGAAGAAGAAAUUAAGAGCUGUCUUGAUUUCCUGAAGUCAGUGUAUGCUGUCUUUGGUUUUACCUUUCAACUCCAUCUUUCUACAAGACCAGAAAACUACCUAGGAGAGUUAGAGAUCUGGGAUCGUGCAGAAAAGCAACUUCAAAACAGCUUGAAUAACUUUGGAGGGCAAUGGAAUUUGAAUCCAGGAGAUGGAGCAUUUUAUGGUCCUAAGAUUGAUAUUAAAAUCAAAGAUGCUAUUGGCAGGUACCAUCAAUGUGCUACUAUCCAGCUUGACUUCCAACUACCCAUUCGAUUUAAUCUUACUUAUGUUGGUAAGGAUGGUGAUGAUAAGAAAAGACCAGUGAUUAUUCACAGAGCUAUUUUGGGAUCUGUGGAGAGAAUGAUAGCUAUUCUAGCUGAAAAUUAUGGAGGAAAAUGGCCAUUCUGGCUGUCUCCACGGCAGGUCAUGGUUGUGCCCGUGGGACCUACUUCGGAAGAGUAUGCCCAGCAGGUGAGAGUAGGGCCUUCCUUUUUAUAGUAGCAAGCAGUUUUUAAUAGCUCCUUAAGUAUUUGUCCUGGAAAAAAGAAUGAAUGCUUUAAUAAUUUUGGAGACGUAUUGGGGGGUGUAUGUGUGUGUAAAUUUUUCCAUAUAGUCUAAAAUGUGUGUAAGCCUGAGAUAGGGAUAUGUAACUUUAAGUGUUUUGGGUUCUGUAACUAUGUACAUACUUGAGCAAUUAUUAAAGAAAAAAAACAUUCUGGAUGACAGACCUUGUAUACUAACAGAAUUAUCUGCUUAAAGUAGGGGCAGAGCUGAUUUCUUCCAUUUCCCAGCAUGUAUACUCUUGACUACAUUAUAUUUGACCAUGGUUGGUUUUACCCCUCUCCCCUGCUUUUCCUUUAUUGCAAGCAUAAGUGGGUUUGUUCAUUCUCUUCUUUCUCAUUUCUCAGACUGAGGAAACAUUUCUGACAUUGCGCAGUGUAGCUGUCUGAGGAGAUCAGCAAAUACUUGAUAUGGAUGUUACCUUGUAUUGGCUUCCAACUGGAGUCCUGCUAAUCCCUUAAGUGUUUGCAGCAAAUUUUUUGAAGCAGGAUUUAUGUCAGAUGUGGAUCUAGAUCAAAGUUGCACAUUAAACAAGAAAAUUAGAAAUGCGCAGCUGGCCCAGUAUAACUUUAUCUUGGUGGUUGGAGAAAAGGAGAAAGCAAAUAAUGCUGUCAACGUGCGAACAAGAGACAACAAAGUUCAUGGAGAGAUUUCAGUGUCUUCUGCUAUUGAAAAACUCCAGAAAUUUAAGAGUUCACGUAUUCCAAAUGCAGAAGAAGAAUUCUGAUGUUGCCGUUAGGAAAAAUAAUUACUAGCUGCCCAUGCGAAAUGGUGUUUCUUUCCUCCUGUACAGCAGGAAUGCUCAUCUGAGAAUUUUCAGUUAAUGGAUACACAAAAUAGACACACGUAGCCAUGUUGGUGCUCCAGGAAUAGCAUGAGAGGACAGAUGGAACUGCCAGCUCCUUUAACAAUUGCAUAGGAUUCCAAUCUGCGAGUUGCAGAAUACUUAUUGUAAAAGUCCUACACCUCUGCUAAAAUAUGUUGGGUUUGCUACGGAAAUAAAUCAGGGCUUCAUGAGGAAUGGGAGGCAGGGAGGUGUACUGGCUGCUGCUGUGGCUGCCGAGCUACCUCAGUCACGUAGCGGUUGCAGAACUGAUUUGAGCUGGAAUCCAAAGCUUGGCAGGUGCAGCAGGAGCAUUUCGGUUUAUUUUUUUUUUUUCUAAGGCAGGAUUAUAUCAAAUUUCUUUAUGGAGGAGCGGUGGGGGAAAUAGCUUGGUUCUUCCUGAAUGCUUGUUCACGGGCUACAAGUACAUUAGUUUUGGUUGGAAAUGUAAGUGGUACAAUGCACUGAUUGAGUUGGUCUGAUAAUUGGUUCUUGUAAAGGUGAUUGCCAAGAAUGAAGUUGAAUUACUCACCAUA